rnacentral:rRNA from 1 species
GCUUGUCUCAAAGAUUAAGCCAUGCAUGUCUCAGCAUAAGCCUUUUCACGGUGAAACUGCAAAUGGCUCAUUAAAGCAGUUACAAUUUAUUUGAUGGUGACUGUUACAUGGAUAACUGUGGUAAUUCUAGAGCUAAUACAUGCGUCAAGUCCCAACUUGAUGGAAGGGCUGUGCUUAUUAGAUACAAAACCAAUUCAGGCUUGCCUGAUUGAUUGGUGAUUCAUGGUAACCGAACGAAUCGCACGGCACCAGCUGGCGAUGGACCAUUUCAGUUUCUGACCUAUCAGCUUCCGACGGUAGGAUAUGGGCCUACCGUGGCAAUGACGGGUAACGGAGAAUUAGGGUUCGAUUCCGGAGAGGGAGCCUGAGAAACGGCUACCACAUCUAAGGAAGGCAGCAGG